ACCCCCUGGCAAUGGGCAAAAGACUCCUUUUGGUGACUGUGUUCUUCUAUCAGUCAGGGGCAGAUGGCAGUCCUUUGUUCAUCCUAGCUUGAUGCCUGGCUUGGUGGCCAAAGCUGUCCUAUGCCUAGGACACAUAA